UACGGAGGGGGCUAGCGUUGUUCGGAAUUACUGGGCGUAAAGCGCACGUAGGCGGACUGUUAAGUCGGGGGGUGAAAUCCUGGGGCUCAACCUCAGAAUUGCCUCCGAUACUGCCGGGCUAGAGUCCGGAAGAGGCGAGUGGAACUCCUGGUGUAGCGGUGGAAUGCGCAGAUAUCAGGAAGAACACCAACGGCGAAGGCAGCUCGCUGGGACGGUACUGACGCUGAGACGCGAAAGCGUGGGGAGCGAACAGG
rnacentral:rRNA from 1 species